GACAGAGGUGCCAAGCGUUAGGCGGAAUCACUGGGCUUAAAGCGUGUGUAGGCGGAUUCCUAAGUACCUUGUGAAAUCCCACGGCUCAACCGUGGAACUGCUCGGUAUACUGGGUAUCUUGAGCCACUUAGGGGCGACCGGAACAAAUGGUGGAGCGGUGAAAUGCGCAGAUAUCGGGAAGAACACCCGUGGCGAAGGCGGCACUCUGGGACGGUACUGACGCUGAGACGCGAAAGCGUGGGGAGCGAACAGG
rnacentral:rRNA from 1 species